rnacentral:lncRNA from 1 species
UUGGUUUUUAGUGGAAUCCAUUCUCUAAAACUAUGCAGUACAACGACCACUCCAUUUCAAAAUCAACUUCGUUCGAACCUGAAUUCUCUAAUUUCAUGGGCCAAUUGAUAUCGGAUUGAGUCCAAAACUUGGGGAACAUCAUAAUAUGAUCGGAGGAGUCAUUUGGUGUCUUUUGAGUGAAAUCCAUUUGGCAAUACACCAACCACUACAUUUCAGAACGAACUUCGUAGGAAC